rnacentral:rRNA from 1 species
GAUAACACCGGGCUAGAGGCCGCGGGAAUACGGGGGGGGCAGGCGUUGGUCGGAAUGUGUGUGAUGCAAGGGGUCGGAGGUGGCCGGCUAAGUCAGACGUGAAAUCCCUCAGCUCAACGUGGGAACUGCGUCUGAGACUGGCAGGCUCGAGUGCAGGAGAGGAACGCGGAAUUCCAGGUGUAGCGGUGAAAUGCGUAGAUAUCUGGAGGAACACCGGUGGCGAAGGCGGCGUUCUGGACUGCUACUGACACUGAGGAACGAAAGCCAGGGGAGCAAACGGGAUUAGAUACCCGGGUAGUC